AGUGGCGAACGGGUGAGUAAUACAUAAAUAAUCUGCCCAUUGGACUGGGAUAACUGUUGGAAACGAUAGCUAAUACCGGAUAGGUGAUUUGAAGGCAUCUUCGAAUCAUUAAAGUAGGGUCACUACACCAAUGGAUGAGUUUAUGGCGCAUUAGUUAGUUGGCGGGGUAACGGCCCACCAAGACGAUGAUGCGUAGCCGACCUGAGAGGGUGACCGGCCACACUGGGACUGAGACACGGCCCAGACUCCUACGGGAGGCAGCAGUAGGGAAUUUUCGGCAAUGGGCGCAAGCCUGACCGAGCAACGCCGCGUGAGUGAUUAAGGCCUUCGGGUUGUAAAGCUCUGUUGUAAGGGAAGAACAUUCAGGAUAGGAAAUGAUCUUGAACUGACGGUACCUUACCAGAAAGCCACGGCUAACUACGUGCCAGCAGCCGCGGUAAUACGUAGGUGGCAAGCGUUAUCCGGAAUUAUUGGGCGUAAAGGGUGCGUAGGCGGUUUAUUAAGUCUAUGGUGAAAAUGCGGGGCUCAACCCCGUAUGGCCAUAGAAACUGAUAGACUUGAGUGCAGGAGAGGGCAAUGGAAUUCCAUGUGUAGCGGUAAAAUGCGUAGAUAU
rnacentral:rRNA from 1 species